CAGUCUGUGACAUGCCAGCUUUUCCUCUGUGAGUCUGUAAUGCGUCUUAUGAUGGGCCAAACUAAGCCUCUUGCACUGCCUUUGCAUGCACUGAUCUAAUGACACAUUGCUUUACUGGGCUUGCAGAUAAAGAUGAUUGUUAGAUUGGGACAAACUGAGGAUUUCCUAGGACUUUCUGCCUUUUUAAGCAUUCGUGUUCCAUAUCCCAUUUGGUGUAGGUUGAUCAAUGGUGAAUAAAUAUUAUUAUAAAGCAAGGCCACUAAAUUAAUAACCUGGCAUCCAGAAGAGAAGCAAGGCAGAGACAGCAGCAUCAAGUCACACAGAGAAGGGAGAAUAUGAUGGGAGCCAUGCAUGUUCUUGGUAGCAAUACGAUCUUUCUGGAAAUGGGUUGGAGAGCCUCGGGGGUCUUGGAUGGUCAUGACACGUCCCUACAGGCCAUGCCCACUUCCUGGCCUCAUUUCUGAACUUGUCCUGUGCUGUGUUUACCUCCAGGAACUUACCUCCAGAAAAAGAUGUUUGUUCUGGAAAAGUGUUGCCCUAUUUCUUCAUGGCUUUUUUUCCCAGUCAUAUAUUGCUCCUCCCCAUUGCCUGUUGUUACAAAUAAUCCUUGGUUAUUGUCCAAAAUUCCUGUCUGUUAUUACCAACAGCCCGUGGCUGGCUCCACAGACAUCCAGCUAUACAUGUUUGGGACAUGCACACUAACCCCAUGUCUUUUGGGAUUAUAUAAAAGGUUUUCCUCUAAACCCCUGGCCCUGAAACUGAAUAUGAAGUGCUUGCCCAUGAAAUAUUACUGAAUUACAUUUUUGUAAUAUUAUUGUGUUAUAUUAUUUUCCCAAAAUGCAGUUGUCAUGAAAGAAAGAUACUCUGUUUUGUGGUAUGCUACAUUCUCUUCCAUUUCAGACAUUUCUACACAAAAUGCUAUUUAAUUUUUCUUACCCAGUGCUUCAGUGAGAUUUGUGGAGUGACUGAGGACAAUUGCAUAAGUAAGAGCUCUUAGGAUCAAAGCCUUUAAAAUAGUCUGUGCUUGUUAAGUCAUUGAUGGAAGUCGAGUAGCACAUACACAAAAAAAAAAGAAAAAAACAAACCCCCAAAAAAAGACACAAAGAACUGAUUAUGAGCAAGCCUCAUUUGAAAGCAGGUGCUGUUGUAGUUAUCCAGCAGAAGACUCAGUUCACAAGUUGUCCGUAGACUGCAGAAAAGAGAAGUUUUAAUACAAAAAGAUUGUCUCAUUGACCCAGCUUGAUCUGUGUUUCAAAGGCAAAGUUGUAAGAGUACUACAAUAGGCUUCACAUAUUGAUCAGUACAAGGAAAGAAUGACAUAGCUCAGCCCAUAACAUUGUUCUUUUUUUGUUUUACCUUUUAUCUCCUGCCCCUACUUCUUUUCAAGGUAAGAGAAAAGUUAGAGUUAGUUCAUCUUAAAGAGAUUAGACUUCCUACUCAAAAUCUGGAAAAGAUGCUAAGAAAUCACUGGUAACCUGUAAGUGUUUAUUUUUGCUUUUUGUAUGUUUGAGUUCGCACAAUUAAUACAUGUUUCUAAAUGAGAAGGAGACCAUUAAAACAAGAAUUAGAAAUGCCUCUUUCUUUCCUUUUUUCUUUCUCUCAUACAUGACACACAGAGACACACAUUAGUUUUGCAAACUGAAAUGAAUAUGGACAUCACUGCAAAUAAUCUCUCAGUUCCUCAUUUUCCAUUUUUGUGAGGAGAAUGAAAUCAAUUUAAAAAGACUAACAACAGACCGUUGUCCCAUGAGUCACAACUAAUUUUCUGAUACGAAUGAAGGAAUUCUAUAUAGUGAAUAGUGGGGUGUGUUGGAAAGAUUUUAAUGACCUAGUUUGGGUGUUUGUAUGUGGCAAUGCAUGAAUUAUAUAGGUCAGCCUCAGCAAAACCAGAUGUCUUAUCUACCAAAGGUUGUACUUGCAGAAAUCAGAGAGAGGAAAUGUAAAAUUAUUUUGUAAGAAAUCUCUAAUUUAUUUGCCUUGCUGCUAAAAUGGCUGAAUGUUGAAUGUUGACUUAACUAACCUGUACUUAUUCAUCCACCCAGUAGAAUUUGCAACAUCAACAUUAGGUCCCUUAGACAAUGAAGAAGAAUGAUCAAUUAAGCAUGGGUUGCACCAAAGACAGCGUGACUUGUUACUAGAAAACUCAGACAGUUAAUUACUAGAAAACUCACAUAUUUAUUACAGCUUCAUUAGCUUCACCCAGGAAAAAAAACCAAAACCAAAUAAAAACCCAAAACAACCCGACCAAACAGUUUUAAACCUUGCUUGCAUUUACCAAGCUUCUCUGACCCUCUCAGACCUCUUUCCUACUGUGGAGGAUGGCCAGGUCUUUAUCCUGCUUGUAAGUUUGACAGCCUAUCUUUGAAAGAUCAAAAGUAAUUCAGGCCUUUAUCACUGCAGUGCAGGAAAAAGAGAUGCUAUUUCAUUUCAUUUUUAUGUUCCAAAAGGACAAAAUGACCACCCUAAUAAACUUUUGGAACAGAGUCAGGUUUUCUUAGAUGGGGGCAGAAAUUGAAUUAAAAUCUCAAACAUUUAAAGGAGCAUUCCUGGUAGAAUUGGUGGAUCCUUAUAAAGCUGGGAAGGCAGAUAGGCAGUAUUGGGAUAUUGGGACACAAGACAGGGGAUGGACUUUGGACCUGGUUAGCAUGAGAGAUUUCAUAACAGGAUGCCUUGGCAAUAACAAACAGAACUUUGAGGAUUAAAUAAAAAUUGCAAGAAGAUUCAAUCAGACUGACUUACCGGAAAAAUAAAAUUACUUCUGCAAGCAAGAGAUGUGUAAAAUGUGUAAGUUUGUUUCUGUGAUCUUUAACCCAGUCAUUGAGGUAAAACAUUGCUAGUCUUCCUAGAAUAAAUACAUAAACAGUUGUACUCUGCAAUAAAUUUGUAUUCUUUUACCACCUCGAAGUCUUCCCCGUCUCUCCUCAUCACUGAUAGGCAGAGAACCCUUCAGUGUGGUUGAGACUGGGCUUGUCAUGUUGGCCUUGUUUGAGUCAUACUGGGCUUGUUUAAAAGCAGAACUGCAUGUGACAAAGGAGCUUUGUGUGUGAAAUCAUGGAUGGUUCAAAAGCCUGAAGACUGUGUGUACAUCCCUGUUUACAUACCAACUAGGUAAAGGCUGGAGGACUUGUAUUUGGACAGGAAACAUGCCAGUGGCCAUGACAUGAUUGUAUCUUUUCUAAAUUUUUUAUGAAAGUACUACCUGGUCAAAAAUCACCCCAAGACUCUAUAGAAAGAUAUG